UGACGUCAAGUCCUCAUGGCCUUUAUGUCCAGGGCUACACACGUGCUACAAUGGGUUGUACAAAGGGUUGCGAACUCGCGAGAGUAAGCCAAUCCCAAAAAGCAACUCUUAGUUCGGAUUGGAGUCUGCAACUCGACUCCAUGAAGCUGGAAUCGCUAGUAAUCGUGGAUCAGCAUGCCACGGUGAAUACGUUCCCGGGCCUU
rnacentral:rRNA from 1 species